UUUUUAGGAUACUGACGACUACAAGUUUGAUCGACAUAUAGCUGCUCUAAUUGAGAUGGAAGAUGCUAAGAAGCUGUUCAAUGAUGGUUGGAAUACAAAGAAUGAUGCUUUGAAAGAGACUCCGUCUGCUACCUCUCAAUGUCAUGUAAUAUUUUUUUUAUAAGUUUGUUUAUAUAUUAUAUAGAUGCUAUUAAUUACUUCAUGUUAUAUUUAUAUGUUUCUUAUUCACUGUUGUGUAGUUUGACACGAAAGGGAAGUCAAAGAUUGUCUGCGGUGAUGAAA